GACGAACGUUGGCGGCGUGCUUAAUACAUGCAAGUCAACUGAAGCAGAGGUAGUAAUAUCUCUGUGGAGGUGGCGCACGGGUGAGUAACACGUAGGUAAUCUGCCUUCAGGUCUGACAUAACCCCGAGAAAUCGGGGCUAAUAGCAGAUGAUGCAGCGGCUUGCCAUCAAGACAGUUGUUAAAGCUUCGGCGCCUGAAGAUGAGCCUGCGUCUGAUUAGCUAGUUGGCGGAGUAACAGCCCACCAAGGCUACGAUCAGUAGCUGGUCUGAGAGGAUGAUCAGCCACACUGGAACUGAGACACGGUCCAGACUCCUACGGGAGCAGCAGUAAGGAAUAUUGCUCAAUGGGAGAAAUCCUGAAGCAGCAACGCCGCGUGAGGGAGUGAAGGGUCUUUUGUCUUGUUAAACCUCUGUAGUGAAGAAGAAAAAA
rnacentral:rRNA from 1 species